rnacentral:rRNA from 1 species
AGCAGCCGCGGUAAUUCCAGCUCCAAUAGCGUAUAUUAAAGUUGUUGCAGUUAAAAAGCUCGUAGUUGAAUUUCGGGAUCAAGGAAUCGGUCAUGCCUUGGUAUGUACUGGUUUUAUUGGUUCUCACCUUCUAAAGAACCAUAAUGUCAUUCAUUUGAUGUUAUGGGGAAUUAGGACUGUUACCUUGAAAAAAUUAGAGUGUUUAAAGCAGGCUUACGCUUGAAUACAUUAGCAUGGAAUAAUGAAAUAGGACAUCAGAUUCUAUUUUGUUGGUUUCUAGGAUCGAUGUAAUGAUUAAUAGGGAUAGUUGGGGGCAUUAGUAUUCAAUUGUCAGAGGUGAAAUUCUUGGAUUUAUUGAAGACUAACUACUGCGAAAGCAUUUGCCAAGGAUGUUUUCAUUAAUCAAGAACGAAAGUUAGGGGAUCGAAGACGAUCAGAUACCGUCGUAGUCUUAACCAUAAACUAUGCCGACUAGGGAUCGGAUGAUGUUAAUUUUAUAAUGACUCAUUC